UCCGCGGUAGCUCAAUGGUGGAGCGGCUGGCUGUUAACCAGUAGGUUGCAGGUUCGAGUCCUGCCCGCGGAG
rnacentral:tRNA from 1 species